CUGGGAGCAAGAGAGAACCUUCAUUGUGAUCUCUGAGUGUCCUGCUUUCCCUCUGGUGAGGAAGUACAGUAAUAAAGACCAGGCAGAGAUGGUCAUGCUGUAAUUGUCCAGGAGAUGCCUUCGGAUGAACAUUUGUAAAUAGUUAGGAGCCUAGAUGAUCAAAGAUUAGAAUGUAAAAUAUUAAACUGCUGAAGUACAGUAUGUGAAUUAAAAUGAAGUAGAAGAAAUCUUAAAGUUCUUUUUUUUUUCAGAAACAAGUACACAUCACUGUUUUCCCAGGUGCUGUGGAUCAUGUGCAGUGCCAGUCACCAUUGUGCCGAUGAAUGGAAACAGCGUUUGUCUAGCUUGGUGGUGUACUUUGUUUAUGUGUAUUUUGAGCCAGAUCAGUCUGGGAAGACCAUUUUUCAGGACAUUACAUAAAUCGUAUACUUAGAAUUGUUUCUUUUUUUUGAGGAACAUGUUUUGGAAUUGUUCCAGAUUCCACAGUUCAUGUUACUAGAUUCGUGUUGGUGAAUUAUAGAGGGAUCAACUAUUUGUAUCUUUAGUGUUGGUUAACGCAUCAUUUUAUUGAUUCAAACCUGAGAUAACACAAAAUGCUACCAAGUAAACCAGCCACUCUGAAAGCGUGUAGCUCUGUAAUACUUGAUGACCUCUAAUCUCUGUGAGGAGUAGGAUUGCUCCAUGAAUUGAAAGGUGGCAUGUUGAUUUGAGCAACUGCAUUUUCCUGAUGCUUGCAAACAACAGGGUAAAGGUUCAUCUGCAGGCACUGAACUUUUACUCCCUCCCAAUGUGUUAAAACAAUCAGCUGUUAUGUAAUCAGAGCAGAUCAUGAUGGUUUCUCCCGUGAUCACUGUACAUUUCUGUCAGGGGGCUUGUGAAUUGAGCCUUUGAGUGACAAGCCAUUUAAUCUGGUAAAACAGUUGGAAUAUACCACUGCGCGGUGUGUCCUGGAAUCAGAGAAAAUCACAGGUAGGUGUGGUAGUCCAAGGUACUAAAGCAUAAUUCAGUAAAUGUGCAAAGUAAAACCAAUGGCAAAACACAUGUACAGCAUUUCACCGUUGUACAGUUCAGCUACAGCCUGGAGCUCCUUUACUUCAGAUUUGUGGUUUUCAGGUCCUGGUAAAAUGAAUCCCUUUAACAUAAAAAUGAGGUCCCUUUUUAAUAGAGUCCAUCAAAUGUCAAUAAAACACUGUCUCGUUUCGUCUUGGCAUAAGUGCAUGUACUGUGUUUUUUUAAAGAGUAGAUCAGUAAGACAGGCUUCCAUAAUUGUAUCAUAUUCUUUUCCUAGUUUAUUAUCUGAAACGUUAACAUGACACUCGGUGAUGCAGGUAUAUGAGCAGCUAUGCCUCUUCAUAAUGUGUCUCUUCAUCUGCGGUGGAAGGUUUGCUUUUAACACUUUGCCUUACUAAUGGGGUGACUUCUGGCCAGCACUGUAAUGUGUGGCAGCUUUGUGUUUUGUGCUCAGAACAAAUAUCCUCUGUGGAAUAAAUUCAGAAGAGUCAGAACUUUUCUGUUACAUAAUUUAAAGGGGGUCAACCUGCUUUGUUUUAGCUUCACUGUAUAAUAGCAAUAAUAAACCGUGCCACACAAUAGUAAAUACUCCUUAUUGUUUUCUUUACUCCAUUAAGGUACCUCAUGGCAUUCUUAUACUUCAAGUUAGGCCAAUACAGCAAAGGCAUGUGAAAACAACAUGGAACUAAGCACUGCUAAUGUGAAACCAUUGUAACAGUGUAAAAUUCUUAUUUUACAUUUUGCAUGGUCAGGGCCUGAUUUUGGCGCUCAUAGGUCCUCGGCACUUUCACUCCGAAUUGUGCAUAAAGAGGGGUAAACGCCAGUUGAAUUACGUCGACUGACAUGAUGCAAUUUAAAUUUAUUCUAAUGCUAAACCACAUGAUUGAUGGAGUGAGUUGGGCGACCAUCACUUCGAUACUUCUAAUUUCUAGAACAGCCGCUAGACAGUGUAUGAUUCUUGAUUUGGAGCACCUAGAGCUGAUCGCAAGUUGUUUCAGCUCGUUUUCCGUUACUCACUAGUGUUUCCCUCCUUCGUAGGCCCUAAAAAUGUUGUAGGCCUGACAGUGCCUCAUGGGAAAUCCGGUACUGUGCAUGGUAACAACAUCUACUUAUAGUGAGAUCAUAGCUCUCAGUUCACUCUCAGGGUAGUACAUUGUGAGCCUUGUUUAUAAAACAGAACACUGAAGAAGUGCAGAACAACUGCAGAAAAGACCCGAGCAGCUCAGUCACAAAGCCUGCAUGCCUGUGUACAGGGCAGAUGAAUGAGUUCUACUUGCUUUGUUUCACAGCUGGCGUGAGAAGUCACUGUGCUGGCACUGUUCAUGUCUCUGCCCUAUUGAAAUGUGCACUUCUCUGAAACGGUGCAAUCACCAACUGUUCAACAGUCUAACCAGGUAAGAGUUUAUUGUGGCAUAGAAUGAUAAGAACAGUAACACAUAGUCCGGCGCAGAGAAACUAUAGGAAAAGCAUGGUGGACUUAUGCAAAAUCUGUACUAGCAAUGUAAAUGGAGGGUGCAAAUGCAUGAUAAACUCAUGGAUACAUUUUUUUUAAAUAUUCCUGAUUCAUAUGGCAAGCAUACAAAUAUCAAAUAUGUGAUCAUUUUGGGUUUGUGCCUGUUCCAUUUUGUUUUUAUGUUGCCUUCAUUAUGUGAAUGUCAAAACCACAUUUAACUAGAGUUUCUGUCUAUAUUCUUAUAAAGGUCUUACCCCCUGUAACUUCUGGGAGAACAGAUUCUCCAUUAGCUGAAUCAGCUCAUCCCAGCACAGUGACCCCCUCGUGCACCCAAGAGUGCACUAAGAGUGGACCUUAGGGUGGAGAUGCCUCAAAACAAAGAUAACAGCCCUCCCAAGGUCUUGGGAAGAGUCGAGGACCCGACAGCAGAAACAUGCAGAGGUCACACACACAAACAGUUCAUGGACAGACUUGUUUUCUUGCAUCUGACUUGUCCAGCAACUGUUAUCUUUGCGAGCUGAAAUUUCUGUUUACUCUCUGCAUGCUUUCAUUUUUUUUUUCGUGACUUUUUCGUGAUUUUUGGCUGAAGAACGUAAAAGAAGCUAACUCCGACACGUGGUAAUAUUUGGCCCUGAUUUCCUUUUGAAAUCUGAGAGGGAGAAACAAUAAAUAUUUUAACAUCCAUGGAGCCUAAUGAUUUUCUGGAGAUUCAGUUUAAACUGGUCCCAUGUGUCCCUCUGCUUUUUAAAUCUGACAUCUUCAAUAUGUGGUGCUUAAGUGUAUAGUGUUAAGAUGCUGUAUGGUGUAUGUACAGUAUAUAUGUUAGGACAAGCACAUUUGGACAUUAAGCAUCUUAAAGAGAAUUUCAGAAUUUCUUUCCUUGUCUUGGCAAGCAAUUGUCUUUCAGGUUUUAUUUUUGGGUGCAAAAUAGAAUUGGCGUUAUGUGCUGCUCAAACCCACAUCAGCUCGCCUGCCGUUUCACCACCACGCUUGUGAGCGCUUGAGUAUGUGUGUGAGAGAGGAAGUGGACAAGGGGGGAGGUUGUAUUGUUUCCCUGUGUUGGAGCUUUAGGGCUGGUAUUGAGGAGCACAAAGCUACAAAUACUUGUACUGCGACAGAAGCAAAUAACAGACAAACUGUUGGGAGAUUGUGUUAUCUAGUUGGGGGGACGAGGGACUGAAAUGCUCUGAAAAUUUGGCAGCAAUCCAGAUGUUUUUUUUUCUUUUUUGUGUAAUUCUUUACUUUUUUUGUUUUUCAGUAUGCUCAAGGCCAAUACUGAUUAAUUCCUUUACAGGGUACACCUGUUACACAUUAACCUGCCUGUUUGUCUGUUGUUGUGUCUCUGGCGUUCUCUGAUCCCCGACAAGGUGGUGGGAGGGGCUGGGGGGGCUUGGAGUGGGGAACAUGCUGUCCAGCGGAGAGCACAGCUCCUGUCAGAACACCACAAGCUGCAGGCUGGCUGGAGAGACUGCCAGCAGCCUGGGUGGGAUGUGCUGUGGUGCAAACGCUGUGCAGGCCCUUAGUGGGAAAGGUUUCCCAUACAAGGAAAAACCUUCGUUUAAGGCAUGUUAAAACACAGGAAUGACAUACAGUGGUUCUUGCGCCACAUUGCUUUGUGGUGGAACACAGUACUGAAUCAGUGCAGAUUGUGUCAGUAAGAGACAGUUCAGUCACAGAGACUCCAAACAUGUGUACACAGUAGUUUGAUCAAUUGUGCUAAUUUGGCCUCACUCUUUGUUCAAGGUAAGUAGUCUACGGUCAUUGGCUUAGACAAGACUGGUUAUAUUGAAUGUAUUGUGUAAAAUGGAGUUAGGCUGCACAAAAGCGCCCAAUCCCCUGUCCUACCCAAUACUUAACACUAAUUACGGAAAUGAAAGUUCAGACUGAGUGUUCUCCCCCCUGAGCUGAUUAAUGUUUGAUUAUUAGAGAUUUGAAAGGGCGCCAAUGAAAAGACUCGGCUGAAAGGCAUGAUUUGGAGUGACUGUCUUCCACGGAGGUCUCCGCAAUAAGCUAGAGCUCACUUCUUCCUGCUGGGGCCUCAUAUUGUAAACCACUGGGAAACAACUGGAAUUCACAUCAGGAGAGGAGCCUGCUUUCAAAACUCGUUAAUGGUCUUGGAGCAGCUGGAGCCAGUUCUUCUUCUUCCAGUUAACUUCCAGUUGGAGGAGCUGGAGCCAGUCCCGGUGUGCAACAGGUGCAAGGCAGGGCACGCCCUGGAUAGGACGCCUGUCCAUCGUAGGGCACAUACAGACACAGACAUGAGCAUACACCCAGGGUGAGUCUUCCCAAAAGCCUACCAGUAUGUCUUUGGAUCUGAUAAAGGCAAGCAUUUUAUUAGAUUGGUCAGAAAGCAUGAUCUAUCAUUUGUAUUGCUUCCAGUGGUGUUGCACUAGCCUGUGAUCAUCAAAAUGGGCUCCCUCUUCAUAACCAAUCUAAUUAUUGUCACGUCUGUUCAAUAAAAUGUCAGUACUCCUGCUACAACAAAAAAUGCCAUUUCCUGAUAACUUUGCAAAGAUGUUGUUGUAAGUGGUUUCAUUUCAUACUGCAGUGUAUAUUGUAACUUCCAACUGUGUCUAAGGCUUUUGCACAGCUGUGUACUGUAUAGCAAGAAACCAAAACAGAAGAAUGCAAAGUAACAGUAAGUUUUAUCGUUAAAGUGCCUAGUACUGUAGAGCCCUCCCCCUACACUGUGAGUGUAGUGGCAACACUAGAGAUAAGCGGUUUCUUCUGGCAAGAACAGAUCAUAGUUAUCAGGGCUGCACUUAAGCAGCUUGUGCUGAACAAGCCCUUUAUUCAAACAGGAAAAAACUGACAUGUCAAUACACAGAGCCAAUGGUACAGCAGUCAUCCCAGUAUAGAAAAACAGUUUAUUUUGCUUUUAAUCUCAAUUACGCCUAUAGGUAUGAGAUAAACACUCUCCCUCUGCUCAUGUUGGUAAACAUGCUGUAACGUUCUGGUUACAGGGUGAUAUCAAAAAAGAGCCACAGAGAAAGGAGUCAUUAUGGCUAAAAUUAACAAGCCAGGCCUGACAACCUCUAGUUCAUUCCAUUGGCUUUGAUUUUGCUACUUUCUCAGGCACAUUCCCUCAUACUAGGCUUCCAGUCUAGUCUUCAGGGUCUUCCACAGCCUGUUCAAGCCAUUAAUAGAACAAACCAGAUGCAGUAACAUGAUCAUUUGAAUGAGGUCUUGUAUUUGCUGUAUAUUUUUCUGUAGCAUUUGGUCACCAUCUCUGUUUUGAUUUUUAUUUGUAAAAUUUAUUUUGAAAACCAAGCACCUUUGUCAAAGCUGAUGGUAGAGGAAGUGAACUGGGGAAACAAAUUAGCGUUGCACAAAGCUGUUGACACCCACAGGGGAAGCAGACACCUGAAGCACAUGCAUAUGCCCUACUUUGUGAUGCUGAAGCAGAGGCAUAGUUAACAAUCACAUACACGUUAGGGGCUUCGAAAAAACUAAGUGGCGCUGCAGACUGGACGACUCACUCUAUCUACGAAAGACUCUUACAAAUAACCGAUAGUAACCAGAACUUUGCUCUGGGAUAACCCAGGGAAGAUGUAUGCAGACAGCAGGAAGAGAUCAGUGGGACGAAAGGGAAUACAUCAUUUUAAAAAAAGCUUUUGUAAAAAGCACACGCUUUGAAAUAAUUUUAUUAAGUAAAAUAAUGACUUUUCAUUAAAAAAAGUGAACACGGAUAGAUUUUGAAGCUGAUAACAUGAUGUUUUGAGUUGGAGGGCAAAAUAUCUAAAAUAUAGGUAAGUGACAGGUACCUCUCCUGUCUGAAUCGACAUCUUGUUGAAAUAAAAAAAAAGUCAACCAAAACUUUGUCUACCUCCAAGGUACUGCACACAGAACCGAAAUGGAAAUAAGGACUUCCACCUGACAAAUGUUUUACAGGCUUCUGACUGUCUCAGAGCAGUUAGCAAACCAACAUUUGAUUCUAAAAGUUGCCUAACGGGGGCUCAACACAGAUUUCUUACUAGUUGUCAUCUGCAGUGGUAAACCAGGACGAAUUGAAAACUGAAAACAAAUAUUGUUCAUUGUUUAAAUAGUAACUGACCAAUACUCAAACCAAAAAAUAGCUAUUUAAAAAAAAAAAAGAGGCUUGAAAAGAAUGAAUAAAAAUUUACUCCAAUCUAGUUUUUCUUCUUUAAUAGAGCAGACUCCCUAAUGCGAUGUGAUUCUGGGACAUACUGGUCUGAACACAACGUUGAUACAUGACAAGGAAUUUCCAUGUUUCUUUUCAAACCCAGCUGGUUCCGAUUCCUUUUAUGUUGUGGGGGGGGGGAA